ensembl:lncRNA
CUGUCAUAUUAUCAGUAUGUCCUUAGAAACCAGGUUCUGUCAUAUUAUCAGUAUGUCCUUAGAAACCAGGUUCUGUCAUAUUAUCAGUAUGUUAUGGUUUAGGGGGACAUGUUUAAUAAGGAACCGCCACACACAAAUCAUCUAAUGAGAGGGUCUCAACCUCAUCAUAAAGUAAGACAACAAGCCAACAGCAACCACUUUCCGUUCCAUUGAAUUCCAAAAGGCUUUCUGUGUAAAACCGCCUGUUUAAAACUGACAGUUCGACAAAGGAUACACAUUCAUUCAGUCACCAUUAAUAUGGGCUGUUUGGUUAACUGUCUGAUAAAGUCUGGAAAGACACCUGUAUGACUCCAUGGUAACUUUUCAC